rnacentral:lncRNA from 1 species
GGCAAGCAAGUUCUCCGGCGGAGCCCGGGCACAUGGUGAGAGGAAACGAGAGGCAAGGACUUCGCCGCUGCAGCCCCGGCCGUUUGGAUUAAAGAGAGGUUUCUUGACAUGGCAGCCUGAGCAGCCGGAGGGGAAAAAAAAGAAAGGCAGAGGCGGGGGAGGAGGAGGAGGAAUAGAAGAAGAGCACCUCACCAGACAUGGUGGAAGAAAAAAGUAAGAUUCUUGUGUAUGGUGCCUUGGCCAGGCAUGGGAGCAGCUCUGUUAAGUCAGCAAUUUAAACACUCAAGGUAAGAAAAUGGCUCUCACUUCUAUCUAGGAAAUAUCUUUCCAUUUGUAUUCAGAAUAAGCAGAUAGAAUUAAAAGAAUUCAGUGGAAAGGCUUGUCUGAGAUACCCUAGAGAAGUACCUCAGAUUGCCCAGUUCCUCUGCAAAAAUCAAAUGCACUCUUCAAAAAGUUACUAAAAUUGCUGUACCCUAGAACUCAGUCCUGAGUGAGGACCAAUAACUGCAAUUGAUUUUCUUUUUUUCCCCCCAUUCAUUAAUUGUGGGAAAUAAUGCUAUUCCCAGAAGGAAACCUGUUGCUUUUCUUGCAGACUUUUUGAGCCCUUUCAUUCAAGCUGAAAAAAAAACUGGAGUUAGUUUAGCAUAGCCAGGCCAUAUGUUCAGACCACUUACUAUUCACUGAACAGUAUUCAGAUUCAGAUUCCAGGAAGCAUGCCAUAUAUGCCUUGGUACCUGUGUGACUAUUCAGCCAAGUUUAGUAGCAAGAGGAUGUGGGCUAGUUAGUACUCU